GGCUGGUCCGAGUGCAGUGGUGUUUACAACUAAUUGAUCACAACCAGUGACAGAUUUCUUUGUUCCUUCUCCAUUCCCACUGCUUCACUUGACUAUAAA
ensembl:misc_RNA Y_RNA Y RNA